GGAAGUGGUAGCUCAGUGGUUCAGACGUUGGACUUCUGAUCAGAAGGGUGUGAGUUCAAAUCACAGCACUGCCA